GCCUGGGUGGCUCAGUGGGUUGAGCAUCUUGACUUCAGCUCAGGUCAUGAUCUCACGGUCCGUGAGUUCGAGCCCCGCAUCGGGCU
rnacentral:tRNA from 1 species